CCUACGGGUGGCAGCAGUGAGGGAUAUUGGUCAAUGGGGGAAACCCUGAACCAGCCACGCCGCGUGAGGGAAGACGGUUUUCGGAUUGUAAACCUCUGUCCUCUGUGAAGAUAAUGACGGUCGCAGAGGAGGACGCUCAGGAUAACUACGUGCCAGCAGCCGCCGUCAUACGUAGGGAGCAAGCGUUGUCAGGAUUUACUGGCUUUAACGGGUGCGUAGGCGGCUUUGCAAGUCAGAAGUGAAAUCAAUGGGCUUAACCCAUGAGCUGCUUUUGAAACUGCAGAGCGUGAUUGGAGUAGAGGUAGGCGGAAUUCCCGGUGUAGCGGUGAAAUGCGUAGAGUUCGGGAGGAACACCAGUGGCGAAGGCGGCCUGCUGGGCUCUAACUGACGCUGAGGCACGAAAGCGUGGGUAGCAAACAGGAUUAGAUACCCCAGUAGUC
rnacentral:rRNA from 1 species